rnacentral:rRNA from 1 species
CGUUAUCCGGAAUCAUUGGGCGUAAAGCGCCUGUAGGUUGUCUAAUAAGUCUGUUGUUAAAGACUAGGGCUUAACCCUGGGAAAGCGAUGGAAACUACUAGGCUUGAGUAUGGUAGGGGUAGAGGGAAUUUCUAGUGUAGCGGUGAAAUGCGUAGAUAUUAGAAAGAACACCGGUGGCGAAAGCGCUCUACUGGGCCAUUACUGACACUGAGAGGCGAAAGCUAGGGGAGCAAAAGGGAUUAGAUACCCCUGUAGUCCUAGCCGUAAACGAUGGAUACUAGGUGUUGUAUUAUUAUACAGUAUCGUAGCUAACGCGUUAAGUAUCCCGCCUGGGGAGUACGCUCGCAAGGGUGAAACUCAAAGGAAUUGACGGGGGCCCGCACAAGCGGUGGAGCAUGUGGUUUAAUUCGAUGCAACGCGAAGAACCUUACCAGGGCUUGACAUACUACAAAUCUUUUUGAGACGAAAGAGUGCCUUCGGGAAUGUAGAUACAGGUGGUGCAUGGCUGUCGUCAGCUCGUGUCGUGAGAUGUUGGGUUAAGUCCCGCAACGAGCGCAACCCUCGUUUUUAGUUGCCAAUUUAUUGGGAUUUCUAGAGAGACUGCCGGUGAUAAACCGGAGGAAGGUGAGGAUGACGUCAAGUCAGCAUGCCCCUUAUGCCCUGGGCCACACACGUGCUACAAUGACAAAGACAAAGAGUCGCAAAUUCGCGAGAACUAGCUAAUCU